UUCUUUUUUUCAGCUGAGGGUUGAAAAUGGAGGUGGUACAUGUACAACAUCGGUGGAGAUUAAGGUGGUCGUUCAAGAAUGCCACCAUUAUUGUCACUUUCGUCAAUAUAAUUGCUGCCCUUUUUAUACUUCACAGUUUCUUCUCUUCUUCUUCAUCUUCCACCACACCAUCUUCAGUUGAAAGGUAUAUAACGGAAGCAGCAGAGAUUCGUCGUGCUAUGUUGCCUGUGGAGCUAAUUAAAAGAGUGAAGGAAAUUCAGAAAGAAGGGCAUGUCGAACCAGAUCCUCUCCAACAGAAGGAUGCAAAGCAGACUGCUGCAGUAGACCUCAUAUCUAGACUGAACAAUUAUCGUUCUUAUACUGAUUCAGGCAGCGUUAAAGUUGUGGAGGAAUGGCGUAAGCGAAAGAUGGAAAGAGCCAGACAACGCGAACUUGAAAAGAAUGGAACCACCAUCUGACAGUCCUACAUCUUUGACAAGGGUUCAAAAACGAGGCUAUUUGAUCGAUACGACUCGUAAUAUCAGUUGUAUAUGUGUAUACUAUUAACAGAUAUGACUAUCAUCAUGUAUCCAAAUUCUGCAGCACUUGGACAAUUUUAUGCCAUAUAACAUGUUCAG
rnacentral:misc_RNA from 1 species